UAUAUUUCCCUGGCUCUGUUCGAAGGGCUCUUGGUUUUUUAGUAACCAAUGGCGAAAUCAUAGGCAAAGCAGAGAUGGGCAACCACCCUUGAAGAAAUCCCGUACUCCUCUGCUGCUGCCUCAUUUGUUCUUCUUUCUGAGCUGUAUAAUCAUCAGAGAAAAGGCUAAGCCCGCCGUGGCUGCAAAAACCGCCAUUGGGAGAUUUUGCCGAGCCAAGAUACGAGCUAGCUCAGAAUCUGACUUAAUUUGGAAGAGGCGGAUAUCAUCGAAGCUUCUAAUUACAAGGAUUUAGGAUUUAGGGUUUUUGUGGAAUCACUAGAGAGGUUUGUACUACAUCUGGCAAGCAUCAACAGGGGCUGUUUGCUUGUAUUGAAAUCAUCGGCAGCGUAGUUGCAGAGAGGGGCAACAACCCACAAUAAUGCCAUUUGCUUCCGGCUUGACUCACACAUAAAAUGAACGGAAGCACUUAAACUAUGCAUUUUUUAU
rnacentral:lncRNA from 1 species